ACUGAAAGAAUAACGGGGGAGGAAAGACAACACAAGUGGUGAAGUCAUGCGGGAACAGGACCAUUUUCAAUCAGGACGGGGGAAAGGAGCUUUACUAAAACUUGAGUCUACUCUGUUUAGACCAACCUUCAAUACAAGUUCCUCACACACGGUGCUGAAGGGAGCCCAGCGAACAGCUUACAACAAGCUGUUCACAGGACACACCUGGCCUUGGCUUCGACACGUAUUACAAAGUGAAGCUUCCUCACAGGACAGCUCUGUCUUUUCUCAGUUUCUUCAUCUAAGUACCUAAGACUUCCUGAAUUCAUGUAUCUUUACCUCAGAGUGGGUUUUUUUAUUCUUUAUUGUUGAAAGUAUUACAGUCCUCCUUGUCCCCGCACUGACCCCCUCCAGCCCACCCCCGCUACCCCCUCAGAGUGUUUCUACCUAAUCUCAAGCUCAGGAAAAGCUGGUGUUCCUUUACCCAUUCUACAGAUGCUGACACACAGCCCAGAUGCCACCCCACUUGUACUGGCACAGCCAGGUUAAACUUCGGCCCACCGUCUCCCAAUUAGACCCCAACCCUGAGUGCCCCUUCUCUAACCACCAUCGCCACUACAAUGAGCCGGGAGAGGGGAACCAAAUGGCUGGCGUUAACAACUGCUCAUUCAGACUGUAGAGACAGGAGUGGCUCUGGAUUACGGACGGCUUAUGCAGGAAGUCCCAUGGUGUUACACAGAACCCCAGGGUUAGAGGUGAACAGCAGCACAGUCAAACUGUCUAACAUUUUCUCAUACUGUUCACAGUGGUUUUAUACUGGUAGAAUACGUCACAAACCCAAUGACGCCUGAGAACGACGGAGCUAGAACCAAGGCAAAGAAAUGUUAAGACCUUGAAUUCCCCUAUAAGACGGGAACUAGCCAAACCCCACCAGGCCAUUGUCUGGUUGGAUCUCUAUUUUCUCAUUUACUGUCAUUUUUAGAAUUCUUCCAAUCAAAGGAUCCAAAGGCCGGUGCUGCUCACUAUGACCAGCCUGCACAGAAGCCUGCGCCCACAGAAACAGCGCACCUCCCCUCCCCACCCCACCCCACAAAAGGCAGUUUUGUGACAGGUAACCUGACACCUGAGAAGGCGGGGCCAAAGUAGAUACCUCCAGCUGACUCACUUUAUAAACAAAAAGCUAAUUCAGAUGAGAUCCUCUGAUCUGUCCCGAGAACUAGAGUAUUAAACACAAACAAAAUACCAAGGCGUGUCGUUGGGGUGUAACAUCUCUCUGCCACUGUAAUAAAAGAGGGAGGACAGCGCAGGCAGGCACACGGGAACACUCUGUGACUGCAGCGCACACUCACUCACGGUGCAGAGCCCAGUCAUGGAAAAUUCCACACUGACCCAGGACUUCCCCCAGCCCAGCAGGCAGAGAAGCUGACGGUAGCAGCAGCCGCCCGUCCUUUCAUCAGGGACUGAGGUAACUGGCUAACGCUUGGACACGUGAAAAAAAGAGCGUGGUGAUAAGCUCUCGGUAGAGGGAGCUGAAGGGACACUGCAGGCGGGGACAGGGAGUCUGGGAGGACAUUGGCGAAGCACGAGCAGGCUCAGGCCCAGAACAUGGUUGCUCUUUGGUCUCGUAGCCUCAGCCUGGAAAUAACCUUCCUGCAGGCCUCUGACCUCACAACCAGAGUCCCCGCAUGGCCCGCAGGCUCCGGAGGCCUGCUGACCGGCACAGGCACUGGGCUACACACCCAGGCCCUGGCCACCUGCUCUCCUGCCUGUACUCAGAAGGUGGCACACUGCUUGCCCAGCAGCUCCAGACCAACUCCAGCCUGGCCAAACCAACAAACUCUCUGCUGUCGGGUGGACUGAGCCACACCUCCAACGAGACUCAGACUGCGACAGGAUGAGAAGGAUUUUACACAAUGGAGACUCUAUUGCUGGCUUUGAAGUUGGAAGGGCUGCUCCACAAGGAAUGUGGGUAGCCUCUAGGACAGCCAUGGGCAAACUACGGCCUGCGGGCUGGACCCAACCCAUUUGAAAUGAAUAAAACUAAAAAAAAAAAAAGACCGUACCCUUUUAUGUAAUG